AACGAACGCUGGCGGCAGGCCUAGCACAUGCAAGUCGAACGCUCCGCAAGGAGAGUGGCAGACGGGUGAGUAACACGUGGGAAUCUUCCUAUAGGUGCGGAAUAGCUCAGGGAAACUUGAGGUAAUACCGCAUACGCCCUCAGGGGGAAAGAUUUAUCGCCGAUAGAUGAGCCCGCGUCUGAUUAGCUAGUUGGUGGGGUAAUGGCCCACCAAGGCGACGAUCAGUAGCUGGUCUGAGAGGAUGACCAGCCACACUGGGACUGAGACACGGCCCAGACUCCUACGGGAGGCAGCAGUGGGGAAUAUUGGGCAAUGGGCGCAAGCCUGAUCCAGCCAUGCCGCGUGAGUGACGAAGGUCUUCGGAUUGUAAAGCUCUUUUGCCAGGGACGAUAAUGACGGUACCUGGAGAAUAAGCCCCGGCUAACUUCGUGCCAGCCGCCGCGGUAAAAC
rnacentral:rRNA from 1 species